rnacentral:lncRNA from 1 species
GGGGAUGACGGAUGGGCGGGACGGGCGAACGCGGAAAGGGGGGGACAGGGAUGACAGGAGAAUGUAUACACUGGAGAUUGGCCCGUUAACGUUGAGGUUUGGGGGGAAAAUUGAGAGGAUCACUGGCUGGAAGAUUGUUUUCACCAGGAGAAAUACAUUAUUUAACACCAUAAGGAAUGAUAAAGAUAGACACGACCGUAACAGUUUGCCAGAGGUAUACGAGAUACCAGCGGUGGAUAAUGAUUUGCAGGAAGACAUUAAAUAUAUCGGCUACACAGCAAGGUCUUUAGGUACAAGAAUAAAAUAACAUAGGAGGGACAUAACCAACUUGGCACCUAAUACGGCCCUGGCCCAAAGAGCCAU